rnacentral:rRNA from 1 species
UACAGAGGUCCCAAGCGUUGUUCGGAUUCACUGGGCGUAAAGGGUGCGUAGGUGGCAGGGUAAGUCGGAUGUGAAAUCUCCGAGCUCAACUCGGAAAUGGCAUUGGAAACUACCCAGCUCGAGGGUUGGAGGGGGGACUGGAAUGCUUGGUGUAGCAGUGAAAUGCGUAGAUAUCAAGCGGAACACCAGUGGCGAAGGCGGCAUCCUGGACCAAUAUUGACGCUGAGGAGCGAAAGCCAGGGGAGCAAACGGG